UAUACAAUAAUGUAGGCUACUCUGUUGAUCAUGAGUUUGCUAUCAAAUACAUUCAAAUGAUGAUGGAUGGUUUUUGGCAGGCUUCCCCAACUGAAGUACCGAAAGCCCUUUUUUAGAUGUUUUAAUGUUGGGCACGAACGACAAUAAAACACCAGCAAAUCAGCUCCAAUUGAUUUACAUUUUGGAAAUAUGUAAGCACGGUUUGAGAUGAUUACGUUUUAGUCAAAUAUUAUAUCUGUCUGGACUUCUUGUUAUCAAUUUGCAGUCUACAAAUGAUUUGUAAUUAUGUUUCAGCCUCCUGACCAAAGAAUCGUCCCGAGGCUGAAUCUAAUUGAUGUUCCCAGGUUUAUGGCAUUCAAUCGGGCCACAUUCUGCAAAUGAAUAAAAAAAGAGGAGGAGAGAACUGGGCCGCGGUGUAGCACCAAGCCAAACAGAGAAUGGCGGCAUCAUGACAUGAGCUGGUGAGGCGUAAUUGAAAGCAGAUGCGAGCAGAGCACGCUGGAGUUGGAACACAGAGUUAUGCAGACCCGCCCCUCUGACACUUGAACUAUCACUCGAGCCAGGAAAUUGAGGAUGGGGAAAGGGGGGUGUGCGUGCGUGUGUGUUUAGGUGGGGAUUCCACUUUAAUAUCGUCAGAGAGCAACUGAAUCAUGAGUAGAGGGCAAGUCAUUCUCAUUAUUUGUACAACAUAAAUUAUGAAUGUUUUCCAGUUUAUUUCAAGGGCCUUAUUACUAUACAGACUUUCUACUGCAUGAAAUUUCAGUCACAGGUGGGAUAUUAUGCAAAAACUUGUUUAUUUUGCAAGGGGAAGUCAACCAACCGAUUCAGGUUACUCAAACCAAGUCUCACUGUUUGAUGCAAAAUGGGGUGGAAAGGAGUGGCCUCCAAUUCAACCACAGUGUUUCCACAGAAGAUCAUUGUUAUAUCUUAUGGGGAUCAAAUUGUAUGGAUGUGCCGUAACCCUGAACCUUUCAAUACGUUUUCCAAAUCCCUCCAAAGUCCUCCGUUCAUUGGGGAAAAAAUCACCAAGGACCAUUCACACUAUAGUUGUGUUAUAUAAUGUUUUGUACACUCAGUAUAUAUAAAUAGUGUGUAAAGAGUAUUUUUGUUGUCUCUUGGUGUCUUUCCUAUAUACUGUAUAUAUACAAACCAUUUUUUUUAAAUGUAUUUUAUUUUAUGUAAUAUCUUAUGUUGUUAUUUUCUAUUACUGUUCUAUACUUUGUCAUGUAUUUGUAUGUUUUAUGUGGAACCCAGGAAAAGUAGCUGCUGCAUGUGCAGAAGGUAAUGAGGAUCGUAAUAAACUAAACUAUUC